GGGCGUUUAGCUCAGUUGGUUCAGAGCAUCUGCCUUACAAGCAGAGGGUCGGCGGUUCGAAUCCGUCAACGCCCAC
rnacentral:tRNA from 1 species